GUGCUGUGCGACAGAGAGAGGAUGAAACACAACAAGGAGCGCAGGGCAGGGAGGAUCUCCGUAGGGCUGAAGCCGGUGGGUCAUGCUGCUUACUGUAGCUGGUUUUUGAUUAGUCUGCGUUGCCCAGAUGCUAUUGCACUGGGUGGUAAAAUGGCCUAGAUUAUUAUCUCUGUGCCUCUAGGAGCUGGCACUUCACCUGCCUAACAUGGAAUGCUGCUUCUUAAAUGGCGUUAGAUUGGAUUCUGGUGAAUUAAGGACUGUUCACAAAUCUGGAACAGAAACAAAUGAUCACUCCGUAACAAGAACUCCAAGGAACAAGUGAUGCAAUGAGUGCCCAUCCUCUGCUCUUACCUCCGGGACCAGCAGCCAAGCAAACAACACUCUGCCUGUACCCCUGCAAGCUUACUGGAGCCAGGGACAACCAGACAGGAGUCUAACAAAGCUGUCCUCUCAGAAGCUUCAUCCCGCAGCUGAUGAAACCAGAUACAGAGACCCACAGCCAAACAAAAGGAGGAGCUCUGGGAGUCUUGUGGAAGAGUGGGAAGAAGUAUUAAGGGAGACAGAGAGGUCAAGAACACCAUAAGAAUACCUAAAGAGUGAACUAACCUGGGCCAAUGGGGAUGUCACAGGGACUGAACCACUAACCAAAGAGCAUGCGUGGGUUACUCCUAUGUAGCACACGCGGAGCAGAUGUGCAGCUUGUUCUUCAUGUGGGUCCUCUAACAAUUGGAGC